rfam:Felis catus isolate Cinnamon breed Abyssinian chromosome D4, whole genome shotgun sequence.
GCCUGGGUGGCUCAGUCGGUUGAGCAUCCAACUUCAGCUCAGGUCACGAUCUCGCGGUCCGUGGGUUCGAGCCCCGCGUCAGGCU